rnacentral:piRNA from 1 species
GAACUCAGAGGAGAAAACUAAAUAAGC